rnacentral:rRNA from 1 species
UAAUACAUGCAAGUCGAACGAAGUAGCAAUACUUAGUGGCAGACGGGUGAGUAACGUGUGGGUAUCUUCCCUUUGGUGAGGAAUAACACGAGGAAACUUGUGCUAAUACCUCAUAAGUCUUUACAGAGAAAGCUUUAUGCGCCAUUGGAUGAGCCCGCACUUGAUUAGUUUGUUGGUGGGGUAAUGGCCUACCAAGACAAUGAUCAAUAGCUGAUUUGAGAGGAUGAUCAGCCACAUUGGGACUGAGACACGGCCCAAACUCCUACGGGAGGCAGCAGUAGGGAAUCUUGCACAAUGGAGGAAACUCUGAUGCAGCGAUGCCGCGUGAGUGAAGAAGGCCUUUGGGUUGUAAAGCUCUUUCGUCGGGGAAGAAAAUGACUGUACCCGAAUAAGAAGGUCCGGCUAACUUCGUGCCAGCAGCCGCGGUAAUACGAAGGGACCUAGCGUAGUUCGGAAUUACUGGGCUUAAAGAGUUCGUAGGUGGUUAAAAAAGUUGAUGGUGAAAUCCCAGAGCUUAACUCUGGAACUGCCAUCAAAACUUUUUAGCUAGAGUAUGAUAGAGGAAAGCAGAAUUUCUAGUGUAGAGGUGAAAUUCGUAGAUAUUAGAAAGAAUACCAAUUGCGAAGGCAGCUUUCUGGAUCAUUACUGACACUGAGGAACGAAAGCAUGGGUAGCGAAGAGGAUUAGAUACCCUCGUAGUCCAUGCCGUAAACGAUGUGUGUUAGACGUUGGAAAUUUAUUUUCAGUGUCGCAGCGAAAGCAAUAAACACACCGCCUGGGGAGUACGACCGCAAGGUUAAAACUCAAAUGAAUUGACGGGGACCCGCACAAGUAGUGGAGCAUGUGGUUUAAUUCGAAGAUACGCGCAGAACCUUACCAACACUUGACAUGUUCGUCGCGACUCUAAGAGAUUAGAGUUUUCGGUUCGGCCGGACGAAACACAGGUGCUGCAUGGCUGUCGUCAGCUCGUGUCGUGAGAUGUUGGGUUAAGUCCCGCAACGAGCGCAACCCUUACUUUUAGUUGCCAUCAUUUAGUUGGGCACUCUGAAAGAACUGCCAGUGAUAAGCUGGAGGAAGGUGGGGAUGACGUCAAGUCCUCAUGGCCCUUACGUGUUGGGCUACACACGUGCUACAAUGGUAUCUACAACAGGAAGCAAAACAGCGAUGUUAAGCAAAUCCCGAAAAGAUACCUCAGUUCGGAUUGCACUCUGCAACUCGAGUGCAUGAAGCUGGAAUUACUAGUAAUCGUGGAUCAGCGUGCCACGGUGAAUACGUUCCCGGGUCUUGUACACACCGCCCGUCACACCAUGGGAGUUGGUUCUACCUUAAGGCAAAGCUUAAAACCUUUGACCACGGUAUAGUCAGCGACUGGGGUG